rnacentral:rRNA from 1 species
AGUGAACGCUGGUGGCAGGCCUAACACAUGCAAGUCGAGCGGCAGCGCGGGGGCAACCCUGGCGGCGAGCGGCGGACGGGUGAGGAAUGCGUCGGAAUCUGCCUCUUUGUGGGGGAUAACGUAGGGAAACUUACGCUAAUACCGCAUACGACCUACGGGUGAAAGUGGGGGACCGCAAGGCCUCACGCAGAGAGAUGAGCCGACGCCGGAUUAGCUAGUUGGCGGGGUAAAGGCCCACCAAGGCAACGAUCCGUAGCUGGUCUGAGAGGAUGAUCAGCCACACUGGAACUGAGACACGGUCCAGACUCCUACGGGAGGCAGCAGUGGGGAAUAUUGGACAAUGGGCGCAAGCCUGAUCCAGCCAUGCCGCGUGUGUGAAGAAGGCCUUCGGGUUGUAAAGCACUUUCGGUGGGAACGAAACGGUUACGACGAAUACUCGUGGCUACUGACGGUACUCACAGAAGAAGCACCGGCUAACUACGUGCCAGCAGCCGCGGUAACAC